UCGUGAAUUUUCCGCAAUGGGCGAAAGCCUGACGGAGCGACACCGCGUGCAGGAUGAAGGCCUUCGGGUUGUAAACUGCUGUCAGGUUCUAGGAACCAGCUGGCGUGAAUAGCGCCAGCCCUGACCAAGACCAAAGGAAGCAGCGGCUAACUCUGUGCCAGCAGCCGCGGUAAGACAGAGGUUGCAAACGUUGUUCGGAAUUACUGGGCAUAAAGCGCACGUAGGUGGUCCGCUAAGUCGAUUGUGAAAUUCCCCGGCUCAACCGGGGAACGGCACUCGAUACUGGCGGGCUUGAGGUCCGGAGGGGUGAGUGGAACUCCUGGUGGAGCGGUGAAAUGCGUAGAUAUCAGGAGGAACACCGGUGGCGAAAGCGGCUCACUGGCCGGAAACUGACACUGAGGUGCGAAAGCUAGGGUAGCAAACGGGAUUAGAUACCCCCGUAGUCC
rnacentral:rRNA from 1 species